UGGACGGGUGUCACAUAGACAGGUGUCACGUGGACAGGUGUCACCUGGACGAGUGUCACAGACAGGAGUCACGUGGACAGGUGUCACGUGGACAGGUGUCACCUGGACGGUGUCACCUGGACGGUGUCACGUGGACGGGUGUCACAUGGACAGGUGUCACAUGGACGGGUGUCACUUGGACGGGUGUCACCUGGACGGGUGUCACAUAGACGGGUGUCACGUGGACGGGUGUUACAGGGGACCGCAAAAUGUUUCAACUUGUCGUUAGCCGUCGCUAGUUAGCCGCGCCUUUUUAAUAUGAAUGUGAAAAGAAAAGAGUAUAAUCAUGAAACUAUUCCUAUCAAUCGCGCCGGAGAUUUUUGUAAGCAUUGUGUGUUUAUUUUAUUCAAAGUGUCACGCUGAGAAGAAACAAGGUAAAUAAAAACGCAGUAUAAAUUAUCGCGGGGGAAACUUUUUUGCGAAAAAAUGAGUAACAAUCGCAAAUAGUUUGAGAGCAGCAAAUUUUAGCUUGCUUGUAAUUAAAGUGUUUUAUAUUUGAUGCUAGCAUGAACUUAUGCUCAGAAAAUAUGAAUGACUCGGCUAAAAGAAGAUUAAGAAAGUUAUUAUAUUGUUAAAACAAAAAAACGCCUUAAAUUUGAGUUUUUCUUUGCCUUCAAGUGCCUUCCGCCCAACAAAAGACCAAACUGUGUUGCCUUCACCAAAGUAAACAAACAAGAUGGCCGCCUGACAUGAAAGUGUUGUUGAUGUUUUCUUGGUUUACUUCUUUGAAUAAAAAUACUUUGCAACUGCA